CAUUAAGUUUUGGGAUCUUAGAGGUGGUAAGUAUGGGUUCUAGAGGUUGAUUUGUUUCCACAAAUUCUUCUCUAAGGCAGUUUGAUGCCUACCUGCAGGGAAAUCAAUGCUAAUCCUCACCCAUCAUAAGAAAUCUGUUCGAGCAAUGGCACAGCAUCCUACAGAGAACAGUUUUGCAUCUGCAUUAGCAGACAACAUAAAGAAAUUCAACCUUCCUCGAGGAGAGUUUCUGCAUAAUAUGCUCUCCCAGCAGAAAACUAUCAUAAAUUCCAUGGCAGUCAAUGAAGACGGUUUGAUGGCAACGGGAGG